rnacentral:lncRNA from 1 species
GCGCCCCCGGCCGCCGCCCCUCCUCCCCGGCACACGCGCACGCAGGUGCAGCCCUCGCUGUGCCUGCCACCUGCGCGCGGACGCCCCUCACGCCCCCUAGACCCUGCACCGCCCGACUUCUGGCCGUGCCGGCCGGGAGGGGACGGGUAGGAAGAGGUGGCGGGCGGCCCCGGGCGCGGCGCUGCCUUCGAUGGCCCAACCCCCCUAUUCACCAGCCGCGGCCGUGACUCUGCCCGGUGACGUAGGGAGGCCGAACUUUACGUAACCCGCCCGGCGCCCCACGCGUGCCGGCACAGGGCAUACCUGGGGCCCGGAGGCCCAGGCUUGGGGAAGGGGCUCCAGUCACGGGGUUGCCCAUGGGCUGCAGCCCACCCUCACCGUGCGGCUCUCUUUAACUCAGUUACUGCCAGUGAUAGUGACCCAGUCAGUGUGUGUGGACGCGGCCUGCCUUCUGUCCCAGGCCCCUUGUGACCAAGGGCUUACCCUUGAAAGAAGGCAGUAGGGAGCUUGGGACGGAGCCAGAGGUCAGACGCCUCUGCUCAGGUCGGGGCUGGGGACUCAGAAGGCAGGGUCAGGGCUCAAGCUCGAUUCCCUGUGGGUUGGGGGUCCCCACCAAUUCUGGAAUGAGCCCAAACUGAGACACAGGAGACCUGAGUUCUAGGCCUGGCUCUGCCGUGGCUUGCUGACCUUGGAGAAGCUUGUGCCCUGCUGGAAAGUGGGAUGGCAGUACCCGCUACAUCUAGUAGUUGGGGAGAUCAAGAGAGGUAUGAGACCUGAAGAGGAUGGCAGACUAUGCGGUGCGGUGCACACCGGUCUCCAAGUUGUUUUCAGCCUCCUGUCUCCUCCCAGGAGCUAGGGGUGCUAACCUAUGACGCUGAGGCUCGGCCAGGGACAGUGAUAGACCCACAUCCCCGGAACUAGGUGAUUGCGGUGCAGGAACCAGGUGUGCCUUCGCGGGAUCCAUGCCUUGAGGCCCAGGAGCGUCCCGCCGCCAGCAUGCCGUGGGACGCGCGGCGGCCUGGGGUGGCGCGGAC